rnacentral:rRNA from 1 species
AUUGAACGCUGGCGGCAGGCCUAACACAUGCAAGUCGAGCGGCAGCGCGGGGCAACCUGGCGGCGAGCGGCGGACGGGUGAGUAACGCGUAGGAAUCUACCCAGUAGCGGGGGAUAGCCCGGGGAAACUCGGAUUAAUACCGCAUACGCCCUAAGGGGGAAAGUGGGGGACCGCAAGGCCUCAUGCUAUAGGAGCGGCCGGUGUCUGAUUAGCUAGUUGGUGGGGUAAAGGCCUACCAAGGCGACGAUCAGUAGCUGGUCUGAGAGGACGAUCAGCCACACUGGGACUGAGACACGGCCCAGACUCCUACGGGAGGCAGCAGUGGGGAAUUUUGGACAAUGGGCGAAAGCCUGAUCCAGCAAUGCCGCGUGUGUGAAGAAGGCCUUCGGGUUGUAAAGCACUUUUGUCCGGAAAGAAAUGGCUCUGGUUAAUACCUGGGGUCGAUGACGGUACCGGAAGAAUAAGGACCGGCUAACUACGUGCCAGCAGCCGCAGUAA